UCAUCGUUUUCUUUGCCCACUAUCUUCUUCCUCCUCCCUUUGUAAUUAUCGCUUCACCACCGCCGCAAGCAAGGGAAGAAAUCUUGUCUCAAAUUUGUGGUCAAGUCUCCAUAUUUUGGCUAGAGAUUGGACUGUGCACAGGAACGUCGGGCCUAAGUGGCACCCCACCACCUCGGUGGCAACCCGGAAGAUCGUUGCGACAACGAUGGCUGGUAACCAUAACUACCCUGACGGUGACACUGGCCAUGAAUAGUAGAGUAAAUUUAUUUAUGGUUCUGAAUCUUGUUUAAACAGUAUUUGCGUAAGUAUUCUUUUCUCUACUUAAUCAUUGUUGUUGCUCCUUGCUUACAGAUUUAUAUUUCAUGCUCAACUUGGUUAGUUUGAUUUACCUUUUGAUUGCUUUACAAUCGGCACAUUAUUUUGUAACCCCUACUGGGCAUUCACUCACCCCGUUUUGUUUUGUUUUUCCCCCCCCACGGAGUACGGAAAGAAGUUGCGGUAGUAAGUCGGGCAGAGCUUACGGAAGGCUUUAUCGUUUGGAAAGUUAGUAUUUUCUAAGCUUAUGAUAUUGUAUAUCACGGGGGUAUCUGGGUAGUUUCAGUUCGCUUGAUUUGAUCCCAUGUUAUUUCUGUUGCACUUUGAUGUUAUAUAUAUGUUGGCUUCUACCGGAUCUUUAAUAUGUUUUAAAUUGAAAACUUGUCAGUUUCGUGUAUAAUGGGUCUGGUCUCGGGCUAUACGGACUAGUUUCUGAA